GACAGAGGAUGCAAGCGUUGUCCGGAAUCAUUGGGCGUAAAGCGCGCGUAGGUGGCCUCAUAAGUCCGCUGUGAAAGUCAAAGGCUCAACCUUUGAAAGCCGGUGGAUACUGUGAGGCUAGAGUACGGAAGAGGCGAGUGGAAUUCCUGGUGUAGCGGUGGAAUGCGCAGAUAUCAGGAGGAACACCAAUAGCGAAGGCAGCUCGCUGGGACGUUACUGACACUGAGGCGCGAAAGCGUGGGGAGCGAACAGG
rnacentral:rRNA from 1 species